CCCUAAUUUCGUGCAGAAAACCCCUUCAGCUAUUUCCCGAUUGAGCCUUCGUCCAUGCCCGACGGAAGGAUCGAAAUCGGGCAUCAGAAUGAUUAUUUUUUUCCUAAGAUCCCCAUUCGGAGUCACGAGCGGUGGGACUAGAUUGGGAUGAAUCGAACGUUUUCUGGAGGAGUGACCGACGAUUGCAGAGAUGCGUAGGGCGUUGGCAAACAGUGCUGUGUGAUCAUGAACAAUAUCAACAACCAUCAGGGACCGAGCCAAGACAUGCCACAGCAAUGCGACUUGGAGAUGGUCUGAAAACUUCCAUGCGCCUAUCAAAGUCUGUAUUUGCAGUGUUCGAGGUAUGCCUCUGAUGUUGUGCUGCAAGCAUUAAAGUCCUCUCCAUAACCUCUGGUUCGAGUUCAGGAAAGCUGUAAACUGCUUUAAUAGGUGCAUGCAUCUUAGGCGAUCGACUCCACUUUCUUGUGUCCACUUGAUCUUAUAGUGCAGUUUUGUCGCCUUCUUUUC